CUUAUAUCAUAGACAUAAGAUGUGAAGGUACCUUGGAUACAGGUGAUCAUUAAUUUUUACACUCAGAUGGGCAACAGGACCAAAAUUUAAAGUUAUUCUCAGCACAAAGGAAGGACUGACAAAUCCUUGAUCCAGAAAGAGGAACCCAGUUGAAGUCACGCCUUGCCUGCCUCCAGCAAUGCUUCUAUGGCCACCUCCUAGUCCGGCCAUCCAAGACACCAAUAUUCCUAAAACUGGAUUUCCUGUACAGCCGUGUAUGAACCUAUUACGUAAAAAUGACAGGAGAGCCAUCCAUAUGAACCUGAAUCUUAAGAUGUAUAUUUGAAACUCACUUGAACUAUCCAUACUUCAUGGGUUUGUAAAUCGGGCUAAAAAUCUCCAGGGAACAGAAUUUCUAGCAAGAUUUUUGGUAUUUCCAGCUUGUGGCCAAGUAACAAAUAGGAGAAUACACUUCCUAUAAUAUUUUGGAAUUACCAGUUCUAACUAAAACCUGAAGAGUAGAGGCAUGUGCCAUUGAAACAAAAA